rnacentral:lncRNA from 1 species
AGCUGUUGUCCCAGUUGAGAACUUCUCUAUUAUAGGAUUACUACUGCUGAAAUUUCUUUCUCAGGUAUCAUUGACAAUUCAUAAACAAACAAAAUGGCCUUAGACUACAGUAGUUAAAAGAAUGAUUUUGGUUUGUAUCUAACUACUUUUUGUUAGCCUUGCCCAACAAUCAAAUGGCCUUUUACCAAGGUCAUGGUCCCUAGAAAGAAGGCUACAAAGGAAGGCUGUGUGUCAACUAGGUGUGUUCUAAACAUCAUUUUUCCAGUUGGAGGAAUGCUGAGUUUGGAGAUGGCUGAUAAAUGUGUCAUCUGGAUAACAUUCUGAGAUUGAUAUAGCCCAGAGGACUGUAAAUCUUUAAGAAAACUUUGAGAGAUAUCAAGAACAUAAUAUUAGUUGGAAUGAACAAGAAAAAAAUAAAACAUUCCUGCAGUUUCCCUUGAGAGAGUUCUGCAUGGCUGUUUCUUUAACUCAUGGCAAAGUAGAAAUUUCCAGCUGAGGAAUGCCUUCUUUUGCUUCUUUAGCUGCCUUGACCAAUGUAGUGAUGCUGACAGUGGCUAUAAAAAAUGUGGCUCUCCAAUCUUGGGCACUUUAUGUAACCUUGCUCCUAGGAGGCCGAGCACAUAUUCAGCAGGAAGGAACUUGCUGGCUCAGUUACCAUGAUUCAUGCCAACAAAUCAAAGAAUACUGCUAAUGAAUCACAAAAGGUGGAGAAUGCUAAACAGCAAUGCUUCUGUCACUCUGUUGUGGCUAAUAAUCAAGAUGAUGCAUUGCUAAGACAGCUGCCUGGGUAUGACAGGAAGCAAAUUGCUGUGUCCGCCUGUCAGAAGUUUAUUUGCUACUUUGAGUAUAUGGAACAUGAAUGUCAACUGAAUGUAUUUAAAGAAAGUGAAAAUUAAACAUGAAGAUCUU